UUUCUUCCAGACCCUUGUCAUUCUCACGCCCGGUGUACUUCAACAACUGGACGGAGAACUGAUAAGGGCUUGUGGGAAA
rnacentral:pre_miRNA from 14 species